rnacentral:tRNA from 2 species
GGCCCCAUCAUCUAGUGGUUAGGAUAUUGGGUUUUCAUCCCAAAAACACCGGUUCGACUCCGGUUGGGGCUA